rfam:Orchesella cincta Ocin01_Sc2578, whole genome shotgun sequence.
CCAACGGCCCUUUUAAGGGCCACCACAAACUCCUAAGAGCAAAGAA